UACGGAGGGUGCAAGCGUUAAUCGGAAUUACUGGGCGUAAAGCGUGCGCAGGCGGUUUGUUAAGUCCGUUGUGAAAGCCCCGAGCUCAACUUGGGAAUUGCAGUGGAUACUGGCAGGCUGGAGUACGGUAGAGGAAGGUGGAAUUCCCGGUGUAGCAGUGAAAUGCGUAGAUAUCGGGAGGAACACCAGUGGCGAAGGCGGCCUUCUGGACCAGUACUGACGCUCCAUGACACGAAAGCGUGGGGAGCAAACAGG
rnacentral:rRNA from 1 species